CUCAUUUUCUUUCACUUUCCCGCUAUUUUAUCGCUCGUUUUCUUUCGCUGAGAUUUUGCUGCUGCAGUUAAGGUUCUUCAGCCGUACAACAAUGGAGACCGAAACUUCUUGCUUUCAUCAGCGCUUGCCGCUAACGUGCGCCGGAGGCAUUUGAGCCUCGCUGCUUUGCCUUAUGACCAUGGCCGAGUUGCUUGCUUAAUCUCAUGUGAAGCUACCGCUCUUUGUUCUUUCAACUUCGUUGACAAUCGUGUUUAUUUCUUCGACCCUGUCAGUUCACGAAAGAUGAGAUGAGAUUCAACAUUCACCAG